UACGUAGGGUGCAGGCGUUAAUCGGAAUUACUGGGCGUAAAGCGUGCGCAGGCGGCCUCUUAAGUCAGAUGUGAAAUCCCCGGGCUUAACCUGGGAACUGCGUUUGAAACUACAAGGCUAGAGUGUAGCAGAGGGGGGUGGAAUUCCACGUGUAGCAGUGAAAUGCGUAGAGAUGUGGAGGAACACCGAUGGCGAAGGCAGCCCCCUGGGUUAACACUGACGCUCAGGCACGAAAGCGUGGGGAGCAAACAGG
rnacentral:rRNA from 1 species